UCCCUGGUGGUCCAGUGGCUAAGACUCUGAGCUCCCAAUGCAGGGGUCCUGGUUCAAUCCCUGAUCAGGGAA
rnacentral:tRNA from 1 species